rnacentral:rRNA from 1 species
GAUGAACGCUGGCGGCGUGCCUAAUACAUGCAAGUCGAGCGAACGGACGAGAAGCUUGCUUUUCUGAUGUUAGCGGCGGACGGGUGAGUAACACGUGGAUAACCUACCUAUAAGACUGGGAUAACUUCGGGAAACCGGAGCUAAUACCGGAUAAUAUUUUGAACCGCAUGGUUCAAUAGUGAAAGACGGUCUUGCUGUCACUUAUAGAUGGAUCCGCGCUGCAUUAGCUAGUUGGUAAGGUAACGGCUUACCAAGGCAACGAUGCAUAGCCGACCUGAGAGGGUGAUCGGCCACACUGGAACUGAGACACGGUCCAGACUCUUACGGGAGGCAGCAGUAGGGAAUCUUCCGCAAUGGGCGAAAGCCUGACGGAGCAACGCCGCGUGAGUGAUGAAGGUCUUCGGAUCGUAAAACUCUGUUAUUAGGGAAGAACAUAUGUGUAAGUAACUGUGCACAUCUUGACGGUACCUAAUCAGAAAGCCACGGCUAACUACGUG